AUACUUACGUGGCUGGAGAAAUGUGAUCAUGAAGGUGGUUUUCCCAGAGCGAGGCUCAUCCCUGGCUUUCCGGAUGUGCCGACCCCUGCAAUUUCUUCAAACGUGGGACAUGCUACUGCAUAGUUUGUGGUGGUGGAGGACUGCAUUCAUACUCUUCCCUA